UUCACUAAAACUAAACAGCGUCAAUUGCCUUAUUUUAUUCUCACCUUUCUGCUAUUUUGAAGAAUUACUUUCGCAUUCGAUAUUUUGCGUGAGUUUUACUCUCUCCUUUGCCGGUAGUUUCUCCCAAUUUCUUCUACACAAGUGAAUUUUUCCACAGGUUGUUGAUGUUCUUCCUCUUUCUCCAUGCCCAUUAAUAUGAAAGCAUGAUUCUACAACUUGAAUGUUUUUCUACUGAUUAGAAAAAUUUUGUAAUGUAUAUUGCUUUGGGUCUUAAGAAAUUAAUUUAGGAAGAAGGUAAGAAUGUUUUUGUUCUACUGGUCUUACUUAAUUUUAUACUUUGAAAUGUUUAGUUUAGCUUUUUCAAAUUAUGAACUGCUAAUGUGAACCUAUAAUCACAAAAUGUGUUGGCAUUCUUUGACUGUUAAAAUAUGAUAAAUGGUGAGGUUCCAAUAUCUCUUCGACUAUUAGUACAACCUCAAAAUCCCCUUGAAAUGUUAUGUCCCAGUGAUUCUACACUUUUGAGCCUCUGAGAUUUCUUCUGAGGGAAGAGAUAUCCAGCUAGAUACUGCCCACUUGUAAUAUGCAAGUAAAAUGGAAUUGAAAGAGUAAUUAAGAGAGAAAAAAAUUUAGGUGUUUUUGAAUAUCUUGUACCUGAUAUACCUGUUUCUUUGAAUCUCUUAUUAUUGACCUAAUGGAAUUGGCUAUAAAUGUCCAUUGAUAGACAUAUUAAGAUCACAUUUCUGAAUUACUUCCCCUCGUAUAGAGCGGGGAAAGUAUAAUUAAACGGAGUUAGAUCAAGUGUUUUAUGUUGGAUAAGAUCUUUCAUGACUCGUAUAAAGUUUGUGACAAAAUAUCAUUAGAUAUGAAGGGGGGUUGCGGGUCUAUUUGAUAAGAAACUAUUUUAAUAUAGAGAAUUUUCAAGAUGUUAUUCCUUGUAAAGGAAAGAUUUUUAGGAUGUUGUGUUCAAAGCAUAUAUGUCAGGUUCCGCUAGAUCUCUAGAACUGAAUUUCAACUCAAUAGCAUGUCUAGGAUAUUAAGAUCAUCUUUUUCCUUUUACUUUUAGGUUCAAUAUUGACUGAGAAAUCUUGCAAACGGAGGAAUGACCAUCAUGUCCCCAAUCAUGAACUACUAGAACAAGAAACAAGAAAGAUACCAUAGCCAAAAAUACAUGAAAUUUGGAUAACUCCAUUUUUGUUGUACAUUCAAACUCAAAGUAGUUUAAAUCUUACUUAUGAUUUAUUUUAUAUCAUUUACUAUAUACUAAUUUUACUUUUAAUGUAGAAUACUUUCAAGCAAUUGAAGAGCUAAAAAAGAAUCAACCGAUAGAUGAUCAAGGCAAUCCAAUCAUGUUAUCAAGAAAGAAACGCUCUUUUGCUGGUUGGAUGUAGCUGGCGGCGUGUAUAAGGAAAGGGCGUACGACCUUUGCUUCGAGAAGAACCUUCAUCACCUUCAGUGUGAAUUACAAGGUAUAUGGGGGUUCGCCACCAUGACAGAUGAGUAACCUGAUAAGAUGCGACAGGAAGUUCAGGAGGUUGCUAGGAAGUAAGAGGAGGAACGAAAAAGAAGGAUGGAGGAGGAGCGACGUAGGACGACACUUGAGUCAGACGUCCAAGAACUCAAGAUUCAAGUAAAUACGUUAAUCAAGCUCCUCGUUCUCCGCCCCUUGUCUCUGAUGAUGAUGGUGGAGGGGGUGAGAAUGAUUAAAAGGAUGAAAUGGAGUAUUAGGUGGGGG
rnacentral:lncRNA from 1 species